AUCGCUUCUCGGCUCUUUUGAGCUAAGAUCAAGUGUAGUAUCCUGUUCUUCUCAGUUUAAUACCUGGGACGGAAACGAUUCGUUUCCUCUAUGUAUUAAUCGGAUUUUUGAACUUGGAGUAUGGUGCUGGAGCUUGCUCCACCCUGCUCACGGGUUGUCCUGGUAUUGCAGUACCUCCAGGUUCGGCUCACGUUUC
rnacentral:snRNA from 1 species